rnacentral:rRNA from 1 species
GACGAACGCUGGCGGCGGGCUUAACACAUGCAAGUCGAACGGAAAGGCCCUGCUUUUGUGGGGUGCUCGAGUGGCGAACGGGUGAGUAACACGUGAGUAACCUGCCCUUGACUUUGGGAUAACUUCAGGAAACUGGGGCUAAUACCGGAUAGGAGCUCCUGCUGCAGGGUGGGGGUGGGAAAGUUUCGGCGGGUGGGGAUGGACUCGCGGCUUAUCAGCUUGUUGGUGGGGUAGUGGCUUACCAAGGCUUUGACGGGUAGCCGGCCUGAGAGGGUGACCGGCCACAUUGGGACUGAGAUACGGCCCAGACUCCUACGGGAGGCAGCAGUGGGGAAUAUUGCACAAUGGGCGGAAGCCUGAUGCAGCAACGCCGCGUGCGGGAUGACGGCCUUCGGGUUGUAAACCGCUUUCGCCUGUGACGAAGCGUGAGUGACGGUAAUGGGUAAAGAAGCACCGGCUAACUACGUG